UUAGCUUAGCGGCAUAAGCGCCUGCCUUGUAAACAGGCAAUCGCCAGUUCGAUCCCUGGUA
rnacentral:tRNA from 1 species